rnacentral:rRNA from 1 species
UACGUAGGGCGCAAGCGUUGUCCGGAUUUAUUGGGCGUAAAGAGCUCGUAGGCGGUUUGUCGCGUCGGAUGUGAAAACCCGGAACUCAACUCCGGGCCUGCAUUCGAUACGGGCAGACUUGAGUACUGCAGGGGAGAAUGGAAUUCCUGGUGUAGCGGUGAAAUGCGCAGAUAUCAGGAGGAACACCGGUGGCGAAGGCGGUUCUCUGGGCCUUACCUGACACUGAGGAGCGAAAGCGUGGGGAGCGAACAGG